UGUCCCUGUCCUGGGUUGAGUGGCAUCUAUCUUGUGGUGUCCAUCUCGUAUCAGCCAAGGACAAAGAAAUCCGUUGUUUAUCUCAGCUUGACUUUAGGCCUGUGCCCAUGUCUGGUUCAUGCCUUAGAUAAAUGG
rfam:Erinaceus europaeus unplaced genomic scaffold scaffold00064, whole genome shotgun sequence